GGCCCGGCCCAUCUAAGCCCACCACUUAUUGGGCUCUCGCGGGCUCGCCGCGGCGGCAGUUGGGCCGCGCGAUGGCAAUGAGGAGCUUCGUCGGAGAUGGAGGUCGGGUCGGGGGGCUUCGGCGGCGGCGGCAGGUGGUGGCCGUGUGGGACUAUGGAGGCGGCGGCGGCGGCGGCGGCGAGCAACCGAUUCCAUUUCGCGGCAAUGGCGGCGGUGACCGGAGGAGGAGGCGCGACGAGGCUACUUCCUGCGGGUUGCCUCGAUCCCAUCUUCUUACGCAGAUAGGGAAUCGGGGCGGAUAGCAUUGAACAACCUAAGUCCUGAGACAGUACCUGAGCUACAUCCGUAUGGAAGGGAGCAUGGAGGAUGUGAGAUCAACACUACUUGUGCAGGAGCUUGCCGGCAUGAGAAGCAAAUCUGUGCCAAGACAGUACAUUGUGCAACAAGAAGACCAACCGACCAUUGCAGCCACUGCAUCAUUCCCCAUUGUUGACCUUGGUCGCCUGUCCCAACCAGAUGGUGAUGCCAAUGAGGCGGUGAAACUCCGGCAGGCGAUGGAGUCUUGGGGCCUUUUCAUGGUAACUAACCAUGGCAUAGAAGAUGCUCUGAUGGAUAACGUGAUGAAUGUGUCAAGAGAGUUUUUUCAACAGCAUCUUGGAGAGAAGCAAAAAUACACCAACUUGAUUGACGGCAAGCAUUUCCAGCUAGAAGGGUAUGGAAAUGACCAGGUGAAAUCUGAUACCCAAAUCCUGGAUUGGUUGGAUCGAUUGUAUCUGAAAGUAGAUCCAGCAGACGAGAGAAAUCUUUCCGUUUGGCCCAAGCAUCCUGAAUCUUUCAGGGAUGUUCUGGAUGAGUUUCUCAUAAAAUGUGAUGGAGUUAAAAACAGUCUCCUUCCAUCAAUGGCAAAGCUCUUGAAACUCAACGAGGAUUACUUUGUCAGACAAUUCUCUGACAGGCCUACCACUAUUGCUCGAUUCAACUACUACCCUCAGUGUCCAAGGCCUGAUCUUGUCUAUGGCAUGAAGCCUCAUUCUGAUGCAACCAUUCUUACAAUUCUUAUGGUUGAUAACGACGUUGGUGGGCUACAAGUUCUUAAAGAUGGUGUCUGGUAUGAUGUCCCAACUAAACCUCACACCUUGCUGAUCAACUUAGGAGAUCACAUGGAGAUAAUGAGCAAUGGGAUUUUUAAGAGCUCGGUGCAUAGGGUUAUGACAAAUCCUGAAAAGGAGAGAAUAUCAGUGGUGUUGUUUUAUUUUAUGAAUCUUGAGAAAGAGAUUGAGCCAGCACUUGAGCUGAUCGAUGAAAGGCACCCGGCAAGAUACAAGAGGGUGAAGAUUAUGGACUACCUUGCAGGGCUCUUUGAACAUUUCUUGCAAGGGACAAGAGUGAUUGACACAGUGAAGAUCUGAGUCACUAUGCCAGUUAAAAUAAAUAGUGAUUGUGAUAUGUACUCUGUAAAGUUUAUCAGAAAAAAAGAACUAUUGUAGAGUAUGAGUCACAUGGUCGCAUACUCAUGUAAUUAUGCCAUCCAGAUCUGUAGCGUUUAUCAGAAAAGAAAAAUAUUAUUGUGAGGUUUCAUUUUGUGUUUGCUGAGGAUGAAUGAUGAGUUUUGUACUUGUACUACUCCAAACAGUUUGAUGAGCUCUGCAUGCUAGAUCCUUGGAAAGAAACUGAGCCAGACACAAGACUGCUAGUACUUGAUAUUUGAGAAGCAUCCACCACUUUGCAAGGCAGCAAGAAAGUGAAGGCAAGAAUCAUUUAGCUGAGCCUUGUGAAUUCUAGUACUUCAGUUGGACCAUCUAAAAGGCAAGCAUAAUCAUUUGACAGCUUCAGAGUUUUUCAAUUUUUCCCUUGAUCUACACAUCUUGAUCUUUUUUUUUUCUUUUAGAAAAUAAUACAUCUUUAUCUUCUUUUAUUAUGUUUGAUCUUCUUUUGUUCGAUAGGAAUUGUGUUCUGUCUAUUGAUAUGAGUGACUAAUUGACUUUGUGUUGAUUUCGAGCAGAAUAGCAGCUCUCUCCAGGUUACUACUCCUGUUACUAACCAUUGAUAGAAACCGAGAGAUAGUUGAUCUGGUGCAGAUCUUGUGUCACCAUAUUACACCAGUUGAAAUAUCUAGAAGGAGAUAAGAAAAGGUAAG